GGUACUGGAAGGUCCUCAGGUCAAAAUGGGUGGGCUGGCAUGCCGGUUCACCUGCCUUAGGAUGGGGCUGCGUCCGAUCAGGUAGUUGGUGGGGUAAAGGCCCACCAAGCCUAUGACCGGUGCGGGCUCUGAGAGGAGGAGCCCGGAGAUGGACCCUGAGACAAGGGUCCAGGCCCUACGGGGCGCAGCAGGCGCGAAACCUUCGCAAUGCCCGAAAGGGUGACGAGGCUACCCCGAGUGUCGUCCGCUAAGGACGACUUUUGUCGGGUCUAAAAAGCCCGACGAAUAAGGGGAGGGCAAGUCUGGUGUCAGCCGCCGCGGUAAUACCAGCUCCCCGACUGGUCGGGACGAUUAUUGGGUCUAAAGCGUCCGUAGCCGGCCCUGUAUGUGGUCCGUUAAAUCCAGCGGCUCAACCGCUGGGCUGCGGAUCAUACUAUGGGGCUAGGGGACGGGAGAGGCCGGGGGUACUCCGCGGGUAGGGGUAAAAUCCGCUGAUCCGCGGAAGACCAACAGUGGCGAAGGCGCCCGGCCAGAACGCGCCCGACGGUGAGGGACGAAAGCCAGGGGAGCGAACCGGAUUAGAUACCCGGGUAGUCCUGGCCGUAAACGAUGCCCGCUAGGUCUUGGUGAAGCUUAGGGUUUCACCAGGGCCGCAGGGAAGCCGUUAAGCGGGCCACCUGGGGAGUACGGCCGCAAGGCUGAAACUUAAAGGAAUUGGCGGGGGAGCACCACAAGGGGUGAAGCCUGCGGUUUAA
rnacentral:rRNA from 2 species